rnacentral:rRNA from 1 species
GACGAACCGUGCGAACGUUGUUCGGAAUCACUGGGCUUAAAGGGCGCGUAGGCGGGCUAUCAAGUCCGGGGUGAAAUCCUCCAGCUCAACUGGAGAACUGCCUCGGAUACUGAUGGUCUCGAGGAGGAUAGGGGCACACGGAACUGUGGGUGGAGCGGUGAAAUGCGUUGAUAUCCAUAGGAACUCCGGUGGCGAAAGCGGUGUGCUGGAUCCUUUCUGACGCUGAUGCGCGAAAGCCAGGGGAGCAAACGGG